rnacentral:rRNA from 1 species
GACAGAGGGUGCAAACGUUGUUCGGAUUUACUGGGCGUAAAGCGUGUGUAGGCGGCUUUGUAUGUCGGAUGUGAAAGCCCACGGCUCAACCGUGGAAGUGCAUCCGAAACUGCAUAGCUUGAGUCCCGGAGAGGAAGGUGGAAUGCUUGGUGUAGAGGUGAAAUUCGUAGAUAUCAAGCAGAACACCUGCGGCGAAGGCGGCCUUCUGGACGGUGACUGACGCUGA